rnacentral:rRNA from 1 species
UGGGGGAUCUUGCGCUAAUGCGCGAAAGCGUGACGCAGCGACGCCGCGUGGGGGAUGAAGGCCCUCGGGUCGUAAACCCCUUUCGGCAGGGACGAAGCGAAAGUGACGGUACCUGCAGAAGAAGUCCCGGCUAACUACGUGCCAGCAGCCGCGGUAACACGUAGGGGACGAGCGUUGUCCGGAUUCAUUGGGCGUAAAGCGCGCGUAGGCGGCUCGGAAAGUCGGUUGUGAAAUGCCGGGGCUCAACCCCGGGACUGCGUCCGAUACUUCCGAGCUGGAGGUAGGUAGGGGAGAUCGGAAGUCCUGGUGUAGCGGUGAAAUGCGCAGAUAUCAGGAGGAACACCGGUGGCGAAGGCGGAUCUCUGGGCCUUACCUGACGCUGAGGCGCGAAAGCUAGGGGAGCGAACAGG